AGGGGAAUAGCUGGGUCAAAUGGUGAUUCCAUUCCCAGCUUUCCAAGGAAUCUCCAUACUGCUUUCCAAAUUGGCUGCACCAAUUUCCAGUCCCACCAGCAAU
rnacentral:pre_miRNA from 1 species